rnacentral:misc_RNA from 1 species
GAUGAAGAACGCAGCGAAUUGCGAUAUGUAAUGUGAAUUGCAGAAUUCAGUGAAUCAUCGAAUCUUUGAACGCACAUUGCGCCCCUUGGUAUUCCGAGGGGCAUGCCUGUUCGAGCGUCAUUAUAACCCCUCAAGCUCAGCUUGGUGUUGGGGCCUGCUGCACUGGCAGCCCUUAAAAUCAGUGGCGGCGCCAUCUGGCUCUAAGCGUAGUAAUUCUUCUCGCUAUGGAGUCCUGGUGGAUGCUUGCCAUCAACCCCCAAUUUUUCUAUGGUUGACCUCGGAUCAGGUAGGGAUACCCGCUGAACUUAAGCAUAUCAAUAAGCGGAGGA